UAUGUCAGUCACUAAGGAAAAGCCAUGAGUUUAGGGAGUUAGUGUCUCAGCCUGAACACCUGCUCACCUCCAGUUAUCCCAAUGUUACCUCCAGUAUGAAACUCAUCUUGUGUUAAAUCAAUCAGUGACUCCAGAUGAAAGUGAUACAUCCAUGUAUCAAAAAAUGGAGAAAAUACAAAGCGGACUGGUCGCCGGAUGCCUAGGAACUGCUCAGCGGAUCCCUGCUGUUCCACAGAGUUCUUUGAGCAGCCGUCCAUCUUCCGCGGGAAGAAAGGUAAGAUGUGAGAACAAACAACUUUGUCUUCUUUUCUGAGUAUCGCCAGGAGCUGCCCGGAACAGUCUGGCGUCUGGAGCUGUGCACUUGAUUGUCUUGUGGUGACUCCACCCCAGGCCAGACCACAGUGAGGCCUCCCUCCCCACUGACCGCACCAAAGUGGGGCAAGGGCUGAAGGGCACAAAGGAAGAGCUUUCCCCUCACCCGCUGAGAGGUCACAGGAGCCUGGCGUGGGGGGGACAGAGAACGGUCCCAGCCCAUCUUGUGGAUUCCUCCUAACGGCUCAGCUGUGCGUCCCUGCUCCUGUUAUCGCUGCUCACGAAUUCCCUUUGCCACUGCGGCGGGCUCAGUGAUGGGCAGUUCUUCGUCAAGCUUCAGUUUUACAAAACCAUCUUUACUUAAAACAGGUGCUAGAUUGAUGUUUGAGCACAGAGGUUUCUUGAAGUCGUCUCAUCCCUGAACUGUUCUCGGUCGAUACACUCCUCACGGUCAGGGUCUUCUGUGGGAGACGGUAGCUUCGGAUGCAGGCUGAGCGACAGCAAGUGUUCGAAUGUCCACCUCUCUCCCCUGAGGGUCCUGCUGGCUCAGCAUCAAAGCUGCCUGGCUCUGAGGCCCCCACACUGCCUGCGGCGUUCCCUGCUCCCGGAUUCUGCCCGGAGCCAUCAGAUCACAGCUCAUCCCAACCUGAUGGUAAAUUCCAAGGACAGGAAUUAAACCUGACUUUCUUAAAGAUUUCUGCAAUAGGAAAUCAUCCUCACUGAAAAGGAAAGUAAUGCAAAUGCAGGAAAUUGCAAGGAAGAAAGCCAGUUUCAGUUGUGAUCCAGCCCCUAGGACAACACUGCCCAUAGGGCUGCAACAUCCAUCCAGUUGAUUCUCUCUUGCCAGGACCAGCUGAUGUCUCUCUACCUACCUGGACCAGCUGAUGUCUCUCUACCUACCUGGACCAGCUGAUGUCUCUCUACCUACGUGGACCAGGUGAUGUCUCUCUACCUACCUGGACCAGGUGAUGUCUCUCUACCUACCUGGACCAGGUGAUGUCUCUCUACCUACCUGGACCAGGUGAUGUCUCUCUACCUACCUGGACCAGGUGAUGUCUCUCUACCGACCUGGACCAGCUGAUGUCUCUCUACCGACCUGGACCAGCUGAUGUCUCUCUACCUACCUGGACCAGCUGAUGUCUCUCUACCUACCUGGACCAGCUGAUGUCUCUCUACCUACGUGGACCAGGUGAUGUCUCUCUACCUACGUGGACCAGGUGAUGUCUCUCUACCUACCUGGACCAGCUGAUGUCUCUCUACCUACCUGGACCAGCUGAUGUCUCUCUACCUACCUGGACCAGGUGAUGUCUCUCUACCUACCUGGACCAGGUGAUGUCUCUCUACCUACCUGGACCAGGUGAUGUCUCUCUACCUCCCUGGACCAGUGAUGUGUGCAUAGUUGUUAUGCAAACAGGACCACACUAGGCCGUCGAUGGAACAUACCGGGAUUCUUUAUCAUUUCUUUCCCACUUCUUCUCCUUCCUGACCCUGGGCAGAGUAUCUACUAUUUUGUAAGAAGCUCUUUCUAACAACUUGAUUGAUGUCUAGGACUGAUUAUUCAACAGGUUGUUUUUCUUUAAUCCUCACUUGAGGAUAUUUUUUCCAUUGAUUUCUAGAGAGAGUGUAAGGAAAGGAGGAGGAAGGGGAGAGAGAGAGAGAGACAGACAGAGAGAGAGAGAGAGAGAGAGAGAGAGAAAGAGAGACAGAGAGAGAGGAAAAGAGAGAAACAUUGAUUGGUUGUCUCCCGCACAUACCCCUACUGGGUCUAGAGUACCUGUAACUGAGGUAUAUGCCCUUAACCCUUCAGUCCGCAGGCCAACACUGUAACCACUGAGCUAGUCCAGCCAGGGCAUACCCAGACAAAUUUUUUAAAAAGUUCUCACCGCCG